rnacentral:rRNA from 1 species
AUUGAACGCUGGCGGCAGGCCUAACACAUGCAAGUCGAGCGGAGCGGCGGACGGGUGAGUAAUUCCUAGGAAUCUGCCUGGUAGUGGGGGAUAACGUCCGGAAAGGGGCGCUAAUACCACAUACUAUCAGAUAAGCCUAGGUCGGAGUAGCUAGUUGGUGUGGUAAAGGCCUACCAAGGCGACGAUCCGUAACUGGUCUGAGAGGAUGAUCAGUAAAACUGGAACUGAGACACGGUCAAGACUCCUAGGGGAGGACGCAGUGGGGAAUAUUGGAAAAUGGGCGAAAGCCUGAUCCAGCCAUGCCGCGUGUGUGAAGAAGGUCUUCGGAUUGUAAAGCACUUUAAGUUGGGAGGCGUUACCAGCAGAAUAAGCACCGGCUAACUUCGUGCCAGCCGCCGCGGUAAUAC